AACACUCUUUUAAAAAAAUUUAUUUGAUCAUUAUUUUAACCUUGUAUUUUUGCUACUUACAGUAUUUGGGCUGGAUUGGGGAGACUGCGUAGUAAACACUGGAGAGAGGGGUUUUUUGGGCCUGGGAGUAAGAGGAGUUUCUUUUGAAAACAUGAAUUCUGAACUACAAUUUAGAUUGUGAGCUUCUUUGCCCCAGUGCCUUGAUUGGCACUGUAUGGUGUUGGCCUUGAAUUUCCUUUUAUCGCAGCUCCAUUUUCUCGUAAUCAGUGAAAUUAGUAAUACAUAUUGUCUUUUUUACAAAAGACAAUGUCUGAGAAACAGCCUGGAUUCACUGAUAUGAAAUAUCUGGUGAUCUAUGAGAGUAGUACAAUGAUUUGUUGGGCUUCUAGUUUUCAGGCCUGGACAGGACUUUGUUUGGAUGUUAGCUUUUUCCUUUAAAUGAAAUUUCUGGUGUUUAUUUUUCAUAGCAGUUUUUGCCAUGAAAAGUGUAGAUUUUGGUGGGGAGUGUGUUGGAGAAAUCAGUGAACAUCUUUAAAAUACCCGGGAUUACAUAAUGGCUUUUCUACCUGAGCCAAACUGUACUGACUUAAUGCAGAUCUUUUUGCCAACAGCUACUCUCUUUUAAAUAUGGGUUAGUUUAUCCUGCGGUUAGUGCUUGUGAUGAGGGUAAGAGAGGAAUGAGGAUACUGGGCUUUGUGCCUUUAAGAGAAACCACGUGGCCUGUGAAUUCUCAGGCAGGUCUGCAGGCAGUCAGUAGUGCUGCCUCUCCAGAUCUUUAUAUAAAAAUUAUGGUAGCAGGUUGAAGAUAGAUUUGGCUUUUGGUGGAAAGGGGGCUAAAUCCUUGGCAGGGCAGGAGACAUGGCUCUGUGGGCAAAGCUGGGAGGCAGAAGUACACCAGAAAAUCAAAACUUCCUUGUCUCAGGUGUACCACGGACUAGGAUUGAGAUUUUCAGGUAGUAUGGCAAUAACUUUGAUUUAGGAUUCUUCAGAGAGCUGUUCAGUUUUAAUGUGUAUGACUGCAAGGCAGAAGCUGCACUUAGUAUCAGAGAGAAGUGAUGCUGUAGCCAAACUUAUUUUCCCUACCUGGAGUUUUUAGUGGUGGAAGCCAUGAUUGAAAGUCCUACUGAUAGCAGCUUAGUUUCUCUUUAUGAAUGAAGAUAAGUUUCACCUACUGCUCUAAAACUGAAGACUGACCAUUCUUCAGCAGAACUUAAGUUGUACCAAAAAUGGAUGAAUCUUCUUGCAUAGAAACCUGAUAAAAUUCCUUAAAAUUUGCCCUUGAUGAUUAGCCUUGUAAAUUAACUGAUUUUAAAAAAUAGUUAUUUGAAUAAAUGUUGAAUAUUUUUCUUUGAGAUACUUUUAAAUGGGACCAUUGUGUCUAUAGCUUAUAUUUUAUAACCUGGAAUUUGAUGAGUUCAUUAUAACUACAUGUAUAACCCAGGAGAGUAGAUAGAACCAAGUUCCCAUAAGUAUUUUGUCACUACUUAAUUUGAGCAUGGUGUUCGAAGAUGACUGAGAUAUUUACUUUGUGAUAUGUGAACAUGUCUAUGUGUGUACUCAUGUGUAUAUAACAUAAAAGUUUAUGAAAUGCUUUCUAUCCAUGUGAGAGACUUAGUUACUGUGUGAAAGAUUUGCCUAAUGUUCAGUAGGAAACUUUUCCAUUCUUUUUUCUUUCUUUUUUUUGGUGAGGCAAUUGGAGUUAAGUAACUUGCCCAGGGUCACACAGCUAGUAUGUGUCUAGUGUCUGAGGCUGUAUUUGAACUCAAGUCCUCCUGAAUCUAGGGCCAGCUAUCCACUGCGCCACCUAGCUGCCCCAAAACUUUUCCAUUCUAAAAUAUACUUAUUGGCCUUCCUUUACAUUUUAUGUGAAAGAUAAGAUUUUCAGAAGACUUCAUUUGUCCUGUUUUGGUACAUAUAGAAUAAGAACAAAUUUGGAUAUUCCCAAAAGUAAGCUUGAAAAUUAGGCUAUACAGGGGCAGCUAGGUGGUGCAGUAGCAGAGGUUUAAAAUCAACGUUUCCUUACCCUAGGCAGCGUGCCUGCCAAGGCUAACGAGCCCCACCUGCCUGAAGCGACUGGUUUUAAGGUGCCAGUGACUCGCCUUCACCCCUUCUCCUGUUAGUGGAAACAGGUGCACUUGAGGGUUUCUACUGUCUUUGUAUCCUCAAAGGCCUAGUGCAAUGUUUUACACAUAGUAGAUACUUAAUGAUUUUGUUGAAUUGAAAUUAGGGAUUGAUAGUUGAUAGAGCUCUAAAAAACUAAAAAUAUAAUAUUUUAUGCUUAUCUCAAGAUCUUUCGCAUAAAUACCCGGAUAAGCUUUACCCCAAACUAUCCCCAAGGCCUCUUAAACUUGUAACAAACUUAAUCUGCCUCUGAUUUGGUGAAACAUCUACUAAACCAGUUUUGUCAUCUAAGUAAUCUUAAUUCACUUGCAAAUAGGUAUUUUUAAAACUAUAACCACCAGGCUGUGCAAAACUGACUCAAAUGUUUUGGAAAUCUUCAUUUU